UACAGAGGGGGCAAGCGUUGUUCGGAAUUACUGGGCGUAAAGGGCGCGUAGGCGGCCCGCUAAGUCGAACGUGAAAUCCCCGAGCUCAACUCGGGAACUGCGUCCGAUACUGGCGGGCUUGAAUCCGGGAGAGGGAUGCGGAAUUCCAGGUGUAGCGGUGAAAUGCGUAGAUAUCGAGAGGAACACCUGCGGCGAAGGCGGGUUGCUGGGCUGAUACUGACGCUGAGGCGCGAAAGCCAGGGGAGCGAACGGG
rnacentral:rRNA from 1 species